GCAAGGUUUUUGCAGCCUACUCUGCAUUCUGACAGCAUCGAGCUCCCUGCAGGACUGCAUCUCUCUGAGUCAGGGCUCCACUACAACUAGCGUGGCUGCUCCAGGUUUCUGCCUCAGCCGCUCGUGCCGGAACGGCCCCGGCUCAGCACAGGCUCCUGCCAAGGACACAGAGACACAAAGGGGAGCUGAGCAGCACAUCAGCUCAGCCUGCAAGGAGAACGUGUGGGGGCUGCUUCCAAAUCCCAGCAGGGCAGCUCACCCUGCUCCAGAAGAGCCAAGGUGUCACCAGGCAGGUGCUUACCAGCGUCUUCUCAGGAAAUUGUGACAGGCAGGAAGAACCUGGGCUAGGCACGCAUUUUGUGCUAUCUCCUCGAACGGAACAGAGCAGUAGCAGAUGUAACUGGGCAUGUUCAAAGCUAGAAAAGACCCAGAAAAACAGUUUCACCAAAACUCCAAACACACCCUGCUACAAAGACAGCAAAUUACCAUCGCUGAACCAACACUUUUAUAUUGUUAAAACAAGGUCUCUUUCAGGCAGGAGAAACUCUCGAUGCAUGCUUGUUGUGGGAAGAGAUUUACUGGAGUGACUAAAGGAAUUAGUGACUUUUUCGGCAGCACACACUUUCCAGAUAUGGUUUUAGUUGUGCUUCCACAUUUGGCUCCAGCUGCCAUCGCACCCAGGAGAACUCCAGCACAGCAGAGGGGCAGCCCAGGAUGGAUAGUGCAGCACCCCCAAACCAGACCUUGGGGGACCCUUGUGGCACUGAGCUCUGAGCAAAGGGACCAGAGCCAAGGUGUGAUAGAACAAGCAGGUUGAGACAGCGAAGCUCAGUUUUCUAACAGGACUGGUCACCAGUAUGGUGCUGGUCACAUAGAAUCCAUGUGCAGCAGCUGACCUGAGCAGGAUGGGGGCAUCUAAUUAAUUCACUACUUUAAAAAGGCACUUGACUGACUCAAUUUUGUCUUCAAAUGAUGUAAGUUUUAAAAAUUAACCUCCCAGGGGAACUAGAGGAUACACUUGAAUGUCUGUUCAUGUAAACAGCUAAAAAGGUUUGUUUGUUCUAUUCCUGCUGGAAGUGAUACUACUGAUGAAAAAUGUAAUGCACUUCUUUGUCUUCAUGGUAUUGACUGUACUUUCAGCAGAAGUAAACCCACCACAAUCAAAUAAAACCUUGAAAUUUGAGAAA